UAGGGAAUCUUCGGCAAUGGACGAAAGUCUGACCGAGCAACGCCGCGUGAGUGAAGAAGGUUUUCGGAUCGUAAAACUCUGUUGUUAGAGAAGAACAAGGACGUUAGUAACUGAACGUCCCCUGACGGUAUCUAACCAGAAAGCCACGGCUAACUACGUGCCAGCAGUCGCGGUAAUACGUAGGUGGCAAGCGUUGUCCGGAUUUAUUGGGCGUAAAGCGAGCGCAGGCGGUUUCUUAAGUCUGAUGUGAAAGCCCCCGGCUCAACCGGGGAGGGUCAUUGGAAACUGGGAGACUUGAGUGCAGAAGAGGAGAGUGGAAUUCCAUGUGUAGCGGUGAAAUGCGUAGAUAUAUGGAGGAACACCAGUGGCGAAGGCGGCUCUCUGGUCUGUAACUGACGCUGAGGCUCGAAAGCGUGGGGAGCAAACAGG
rnacentral:rRNA from 1 species